rnacentral:lncRNA from 1 species
CUUAACCGGCUCAAGCUCGAGCUAGACACUGCCGACUUCAAGUGCCUGAGAAACAACUUGGGCAAACAUCUUAUUGUUUAGGCCACUUGGAGGACAUGCAAGUUUUUUUGUAGCAACAGUUAAAGCAAGCUUGAUGCUGACGUCAGUACAGUUCAUUAUUUAUUAAGCAAGUUAUAGCUUAAUGGAUCUGAUGACUGCCCUCAGUUUCAAAAGGAGUGGACCCUCUUCUCACUGAUGCCAUGGACCAGCCCUGAGACAGACGGAGAUGGAGCUAAGGAAACAGGCAGUGGUGCCUCGUGACCGGCUAGUGGACGGUCAAGGGUUUCGUGGUUCACGGCGCAACGGCUGUUGGUGCAUAUUCUAUAAGAUGACCUCAGCGCAGGAGGAGAGGAACCAUCGGUUAACUAUGAAGGGACAGCUCGAGGAAUGCUGGAAUGUCCGCGUCAGCAUCGGCCUGAUCCGGCAGUUUGACGUGUGUCGAUGGAUGUCCCCUCUGUUGUUACGCGUGUAAGUGCCUUGAAACGGUGAUUGGCCCCAGCCGGAUAGGGCUCCUUAGGAAAGGUCAGCUUGCAUUAGCUUUCGAAGGAGUGACAUUUUAAGGAUCAGAGUGUACGGAGAGAGAGAAGAAUGUGUCUCUUGUUGAGUGAAUUAAGGGGAUGGCAGGACAAUUGACCUUUGAUGGCUGGAUGGGGAGAUGAACAUGAUUCCAGUAGGGUGUUUUUUGGGGGGACAUUGACCCUGAAGAUGGUUGACUGCGUGUACCCCAUCUGAGACUGACGGCAAUGUGGAGUUUAAAUGGCCAGGAGCAUUUUAGGAAAGGAGCCCACAGAAGUUGGGGCAGUUGGCUGUUGUGAAGGGGCCGGGCCUCUGAGGUUCCAGGGCCAGAAACCCAGGUUAGGGACACAAUAGGGACACUGAGAGGAGGCAUAUAUGUGGGAGAAAUGAGGAUUGAGUAACUCCUUCACUUACAGUCGUUCUACGAACGACAAGCGCGACUCAAAUCUUUGGUUCCAGGAGGCUGAAUUUAGUGGCGUUGCCAUAAUAACCAUGGAAUGAGAGGAUGACACGAAGCCUGCCUGGGGGACAGGAGUCUUUCCCCGGGAUGUGGGUGGCUUGUAAGUUCCGCCUUGGAGGAGGAACAGAAUUUCCCAUUUUUUUAGGUAGAUAACGCCUGGGACUCCUGGGGAUCGGACCAGCAGGAUGUGAAGCUGGGCAUCGUGCUGUGCUGAGGACUUUGGACUUAAGCCUGAAGGUAAGGAAGGGAGAGUUAAGCAAAGAAUGGGUAUCCAUCCUUUGGAAGGGCUGUUCCCGUUGGUGGUAUGAAAAAGUGUUUGGACGGAAGCAGCUGGGAGCAGGAGGCCGGGUAGGAUCCGCUGUGCUCAUUCAGGAAAGAGAAAGCAGGAGUCGUGGGAGAAACGAGCCUCUGGAGGCUGUAGGUGUGCCCAGCAGGACGUGGUGCCCUGUUGUACUUGAAGGAGGAGGAGAGGGAACUCACCUGCCAUGCCUUCCUGGUUUCCAAUUUUGGCACUAGGCAAGCUCCUCCCUCAGAAGGAGGGGAAGUUUGGGGUGGAAAGAACGGAUUUAGUUCAAGACUGGUUGGAUUGGAAGUGUUGGCGGAAAUGCAGCUAAGAGAAGGGAGUGGGUCGUGAGAGAGAUGUAGGGCAUAAGUCACGGAAGAGGGUGCUAUCAUUCAGGAAGGUGGCUGCUCGUCAUAACGUGGAGGGGGUGGACCAUCUUCCCUGGUCAUUUUUUUCCCUGUAACUGAGCCCAAGAGGCACAGGCCCCGGAGUGCCGUGGGUUUGUCCUGAAUCCAGCCAAGAGGAAGAAAUGGCAAAUAAAUACGACAGGAAGCAAAGGCCAGGGUAGGUAAGAGAGGAGCACACGAGUCUAUCUGCCAAGAGCUGGGAGCUGUGAUCUCCCCGAGGGGUGCCAAGUGCAGGGGAAGAAGGCGGGGCCUCUGUGAGCCAGAGAUGCUAAUGCUAUUCUGGGUUGGCCGGCAGAAAUGGGGGCCCCUUCAGCCCUCUUCCGGGGUUCAGCCCCGCCCCACCGUUGUCAUCACUAUAGGCUGGGACCCGGGAGGCCGGGCUCCUUGGUGCGGCCGCUGUGAAGGCUGGCCAGAACUUCAGGGCAGCGGACAGGCGUGACGGAGACACCUGGGUCCCUGGGAUGCACGGGGCACAGGAGGCUGGAAGGGAGAGUGGACAGUGGCUCCGAACAUCUCAGUUCCCUGAAAGAUGUUGGGCUGCAGGAGAUGAGGAGUAGAAAAUACUGGACUGGGGAGAAAGCGCUGAAGCCCUGGGAAGGGUGGCGGGAGGGGAAGCUACGGGUGGGCCAGGGAAGGCUGGGCGCAGGGCUCCGGGCCAAGGAGAGGCAGAGGCCCUGACGCUCCUCUCCAGGCUGUGCGUCCAUCCUCCCCCAGGCCCCGACACGAGCCACUGGCCCACGUCAAACUGGACCGCCCCACAGGAGUUUGUAAUCCUGGGUUUCUCCGGGCAGCCCCUGGGGCCCCGGGUGCUGCCCUUUGCCCUCCACCUGCCCCUCUGUUUGCCACGCUGGCAGGAAGCCUGCUGAU